CAGGGAAUCUUCCACAAUGGGCGCAAGCCUGAUGGAGCAACACCGCGUGAGUGAAGAAGGGUUUCGGCUCGUAAAGCUCUGUUGUUAAAGAAGAACACGUAUGAGAGUAACUGUUCAUACGUUGACGGUAUUCGACCAGAAAGUCACGGCUAACUACGUGCCGG
rnacentral:rRNA from 1 species